CUCCAACAGAGGGCAGUGUAGUCUUCCGCAACCAGCUCCUACCGAGGCCUGACAACAGAGGUCACUGAACUUCCCCUAAUUACAGCGUUCCCUCGGCUCCAAUUUUCCAGCCCAGAGAAAACUGACUUUGCCUACUCCUCUGUUAUCUCUGACUGUCAUUUCCUUUUCAAUGUUCUCAUCCAUCUUCAGUUCUGGGGCCUUCCGUGCCUUUCGACGGUUCUGAGCCCUGGGGACAGCAAGGAAAGCCUUCUCUGAUCUCCCAAUCUGCUUUCAGAAGGUCAGGAUAUUACUGGGUUUUCUGGUUGAUGUCAAGCCAUCCAGCUGUACGCUGAAAAGAGUGAUUAUCCGCCCUUAGAAGGAAAUCGCUCGGAGAAUGUGGUCGGAGGUGGAGAGAAUUUUCCUUUGGGCUGAGGAUACAAUGGUGCAGAAUGAUGGAAUAAUCCGACUGGGUCGGUUUUGCCAAGGUGUGUUUCUCAUCUUUCACUCAGGUAAUAUCUUAUGUUCACAAAGCCUAUUGUCUUACCCAAUUUGGUUUGUAAAGGUGAUUUCCAUGUCCAAGACCAUGCUAAUGAGUCAGCAGGCACUGAGCAAGCACCCCCUGGGACUGAACAUUGUGCUAGGUUUUGGGGGGGUGGUGCGGUGUGGGGAAACCAAGGACACCAGGCGAGGUACCUGCCACGGAACCCAGUUGGGUAUCGAAGGCUCACAUGCACAGAAUAACAUGAGGAAGAUGACUGGUCGGCGCUCUCGGAGCUGUGGGAGGUCAGAGGCGCCUCCUGUGGCCUGG
rnacentral:lncRNA from 1 species